rnacentral:rRNA from 1 species
GGUUGUCGUGAUGGGCGUAUGGUGGAUGCCUUGGCAGACAGUACCGAUGAAGGACGUGUGGGGCCGCGAUAGUCCUGGGGGAGCCGCCGACAUGGCUUUGAUCCCAGGGUGUCCGAAUGGGGCAACCCGCCAGCCGUCAUGGGCUGGCACCGCACUUGUGCGGGGGGUACGCAGGGAAGUGAAACAUCUCAGUACCUGCAGGAGAGGAUACUCCGUGAGUAGUGGCGAGCGAAAGCGGAUGAUGGCUAAACCGUGCGCGUGUGAUACCCGUCGGGGGUUGCGCGCAUGGUGUCGUGGGAACGCCUGUCCAACGGCCGACGCCGUUGGCUGUGGUGAUAAAUGCAUGCGUGAGGCGAACCGGGUUGGAUACCGGGCCGUAGAGGGUGAUGGCCCCGUAGCCGUAUGCGCGUGCACCAUGGAUGGUGUCUCCCGAGUAGCGCGGGACUCGUGGAAUCCCGUGUGAAUCCGCCCGGACCGUCGGGUAAGCCUGAGUAUACCUGUCUGACCGAUAGCGUACGAGUACCGUGAGGGAAAGGUGAAAAGCACCCCGGGAGGGGAGUGAAAGAGUUCCUGAAACCGUGCGCCCGCGAACCGUCGGAGCCCCCUUGGUGGGGUGACGGCGUGCCUAUCGAAAAAUGAGUCUGCGAGUCAGUGGCAUGUGGCGAGCAUAAGCCGUGUGGUGUAUGCGUAGCGAAAGCGAGUCUUAAAAGGCGUCUUUUCAGUCGCGUGUCCUGGACCCGAAGCGGGAUGAUCUAGCCCUGGUCAGGUUGAAGCGCGGGUAAGACCGCGUGGAGGACCGCACCCACUUAGGUUGAAAACUGAGGGGAUGAACUGGGGUUAGGGGUGAAAGGCCAAUCAAAUUCCGUGAUAGCUGGUUCUCUUCGAAAUGCAUUUAGGUGCAGCGUCGGUUGAUUGCGUGUGGGGGGUAGAGCUACUGGAUGCUUGCGGGCCCGUGCCGGGUACCAACAGCAACCAAACUCCGAAUACCCAUCGCGUCUAUUCCGGCAGUGAGUCGGCGGGGGAUAAGCUCCGUCGUCGAGGGGGAGACAGCCCUGACCGUCGUCUAAGGUCCCCAAGCGCGUGCUAAGUGGGAAAGGAUGUGGAGUCGCAUAGACAGCCAGGAGGUUGGCUCAGAAGCAGCCAUCCUUGAAAGAGUGCGUAACAGCUCACUGGUCUAGUGGUUCCGCGCCGACAAUGUAGCGGGGCUCAAGCACGCCACCGAAGACGCGGAUGCGGCCGUAUGGCCGUGUGGUAGGAGAGCGUCCCACACCGGGGCGAAGCGGCGGGGGAACCCGGCCGUGGACUGUGUGGGAGUGAGAAUGCAGACAUGAGUAGCGAGAGCAGGGUGAGGAUCCCUGCCGCUGGAAGACCAAGGGUUCCAGGGCCACGUUCGUCGUCCCUGGGUGAGUCGGGUCCUAAGGCGAGGCCGACAGGCGUAGUCGAAUGGAUGAACGGGUCGAUAUUCCCGUACCGGCUUUCGGACCGACCAACAGCCCGUGUGAACAAGGGCCAUCCGAUACGGUUGAUGGGGGCUUCGGCCUCCUGAUUCCGUUGCUGUUUGGCCUGGACGCGCAUGGGUUGAGCGUUUCAGGAGUGACGCGGACGGGUAGCCGGCCGGGGAGGUGGUUUUCCCUGGUCAAGCGUGUGGCCCCGCCCCCAGGCAAAUCCGGGGGCUUCAUGGGGUGAGGCGUGAUGAUGGGCGCUUUCAUGGCGUGAUAUCCGGUGAUCCCGUCGGCCGAGAAAAGCUUCGGCGCGAGGUCCGUUGCCGCCCGUACCCCAAACCGACACAGGUGGUCUGGUAGAGUAUACCGAAGCGAUCGAGCGAAUCCUGGUCAAGGAACUCGGCAAAUUGCUCCCGUGCCUUCGGCAUAAGGGAGACCCCCGGCCGUGCCGGCCCCUUGCGGGUCGUGGGCGGCUGGGGGUGGCACAGGCCAGGGGGUAGCGACUGUUUACCAAAAACACAGGUGCAUGCCAAGACGCAAGUCGCCGUAUAUGCACUGACGCCUGCCCGGUGCCGGAAGGUUAAGAGGAUCCAUCAGCGUCCCCUCGCGGGAUGCGAAGUGGUGAAUUCAAGCCCCGGUAAACGGCGGUGGUAACUAUAACCAUCCUAAGGUAGCGAAAUUCCUUGUCGGGUAAGUUCCGACCUGCACGAAUGG